rnacentral:rRNA from 1 species
AUUGAACGCUGGCGGUAUGCUUAACACAUGCAAGUCGAACGGUAGCAGGCCUUCGGGCGCUGACGAGUGGCGGACGGGUGCGUAACGCGUAGGAAUCUGCCUGUUAGUGGGGGACAACGUGGGGAAACUCACGCUAAUACCGCAUACGCCCUACGGGGGAAAGCGGGGGCUCUUCGGACCUCGCGCUAACAGAUGAGCCUGCGUUGGAUUAGCUAGUUGGUAGGGUAAAGGCUUACCAAGGCGACGAUCCAUAGCUGGUCUGAGAGGACGAUCAGCCACAGUGGGACUGAGACACGGCCCAGACUCCUACGGGAGGCAGCAGUGGGGAAUAUUGGACAGUGGGCGCAAGCAUGAUCCAGCAAUACCGCGUGUGUGAAGAAGGCCGGAGGGUUGUAAAGCACUUUCAAUAGGGAGGAACACCGGCCGGCGAAUACCUGGUCGCUUGACAUUACCUAUAGAAGAAGCACCGGCUAACUCCGUGCCAGCAGCCGCCGUAACAC